rnacentral:rRNA from 1 species
GACGAACGCUGGCGGCGUGCUUAACACAUGCAAGUCGUACGGAAAGACCCUGCUUUUGUGGGGUGCUCGAGUGGCGAACGGGUGAGUAACACGUGAGUAACCUGCCCUUGACUUUGGGAUAACUUCAGGAAACUGGGGCUAAUACCGGAUAGGAGCUCCUGCUGCAUGGUGGGGGUUGGAAAGUUUCGGCGGUUGGGGAUGGACUCGCGGCUUAUCAGCUUGUUGGUGGGGUAGUGGCUUACCAAGGCUUUGACGGGUAGCCGGCCUGAGAGGGUGACCGGCCACAUUGGGACUGAGAUACGGCCCAGACUCCUACGGGAGGCAGCAGUGGGGAAUAUUGCACAAUGGGCGGAAGCCUGAUGCAGCAACGCCGCGUGCGGGAUGACGGCCUUCGGGUUGUAAACCGCUUUCGCCUGUGACGAAGCGUGAGUGACGGUAAUGGGUAAAGAAGCACCGGCUAACUACGUG